rnacentral:rRNA from 1 species
AUCAAAAACAUAACCUUUAGCCACAACCAAGUAUUAAAGGCGACGCCUGCCCAGUGAAUAAUUAAACGGCCGCGGUAUCCUAACCGUGCAAAGGUAGCAUAAUCAUUUGUCUAUUAAUUGUAGACCUGUAUGAAAGGCAAAAUGAGGGCUCAACUGUCUCUUAUAACAAAUCAAUUAAACUGAUCUCCUAGUACAAAAGCUAGAAUACCAACAUAAGACCAGAAGACCCUGUGAAGCUUUAACAAACCUAUUAAACCAAAUAAUAGCUACUUUAGGUUGGGGCGACCUUGGAAUAAAAAAGAACUUCCAACAAUUAUGACUACCCAUAAAACUAAGGCAAACACGCCACAAAUAGACCCAGUACAGCUGAAAAUUGAAACAAGUUACUCCAGGGAUAACAGCGCUAUCUUCUUCAAGAGUCCAUAUCAAAAAGAAGGUUUACGACCUCGAUGUUGGAUCAGGACAUCCCAGUAAUGCAACCGUUACUAAAGGUUCGUUUGUUCAACGAUUAACAGUCCUACGUGAUCUGAGUUCAGACAGGACGACGCCCG